rnacentral:rRNA from 1 species
UGGGGAAUCUUGCGCAAUGGGCGAAAGCCUGACGCAGCGACGCCGCGUGCGGGAAGAAGGCCUUCGGGUUGUAAACCGCUUUCAGGAGGGACGAAGCCCCUCGGGUGAAUAGCCUAGAGGGUGACGGUACCUCCAGAAGAAGCCCCGGCUAACUACGUGCCAGCAGCCGCGGUAAUACGUAGGGGGCUAGCGUUGUCCGGAUUUAUUGGGCGUAAAGAGCGUGUAGGCGGCCAGGUAGGUCUGGUGUGAAAACUCGAGGCUUAACCUCGAGAUGUCAUCGGAAACCAUCUGGCUAGAGUCCGGAAGAGGAAAGUGGAAUUCCUGGUGUAGCGGUGAAAUGCGCAGAUAUCAGGAAGAACACCAAUGGCGAAAGCAGCUUUCUGGGACGGUACUGACGCUGAGACGCGAAAGCGUGGGGAGCGAACAG